rnacentral:lncRNA from 1 species
CGACACAGGGUUUGUGGAUAUCCCUCAGCAAGAGAAAGCCCUCAUGAAGGCUGUAGCGACGGUGGGGCCUAUUUCUGUUGCCAUGGAUGCAAGCCAUCCGUCUCUCCAGUUCUAUAGUUCAGGUAUCUACUAUGAACCCAACUGUAGCAGCAAGGACCUCGACCAUGGGGUUCUGGUGGUUGGCUAUGGUUAUGAAGGAACAGAUUCAAAUAAGGAUAAAUACUGGCUUGUCAAAAACAGGUAAGACUCUAAAUGUUAUACUUUAAUAGAAAGGAUUUAUUUGGGGGGGUGGGUCAAUACUUAGAUGCAAGUCCACAGAUGUUUAAGUUUUAAAGUUCUGUUCUCAGAGUGAAGGGUUCUGCAUUUAAGAUUCUAAACUAAGGUUGUCGAGGAGACUUAGGUAUUUGUAAUGGUGGAUUUCCAAACUUGGGCCCAAAAUUUCAGUAAGGCUGUGUGAUUUCAGCACGCUUUUUUUUUUUCUCUAGUUCUCAACAAGGGAAAACCAGCAGAAAUUAUGGCUCGUGUGCCUCCCUGAGAUACCUGCAUUUUGCCCUCUGAUCUCAGAACCCUUUAAUUUUCACAACUGAGUAUCUCUCAUUGAGAUAUAACAACAGAAUGUGGAGACAUACUGUCCUAUUAACCUCCAAGUUCACCUCAUCUUUCUCAGAGUGAGCUAAGGCUGUAUGGCAGUUGGCAAAGUGCUUGCCUACAAGGCACCAAACUGUAGGUUCAAUUCCCAGCACCGCAUACAACCUGGCAUGGUGGUACACGUCUUUAUCC